UGGGGAAUCUUGCGCAAUGGGCGAAAGCCUGACGCAGCAACGCCGCGUGCGGGAUGAAGGCCUUCGGGCUGUAAACCGCUUUCAGCAGGAACGAAAAUGACGGUACCUGCAGAAGAAGGAGCGGCCAACUACGUGCCAGCAGCCGCGGUGACACGUAGGCUCCAAGCGUUGUCCGGAUUUAUUGGGCGUAAAGAGCUCGUAGGCGGUUGAGUAAGUCGGGUGUGAAAACUCUGGGCUUAACCCGGAGACGCCAUCCGAUACUGCUCUGACUAGAGUUCAGGAGGGGAGUGGGGAAUUCCUAGUGUAGCGGUGAAAUGCGCAGAUAUUAGGAGGAACACCGGUGGCGAAGGCGCCACUCUGGACUGAAACUGACGCUGAGGAGCGAAAGCAUGGGUAGCAAACAGG
rnacentral:rRNA from 1 species